rnacentral:lncRNA from 1 species
AUGACGAGGAAAUCGCUGCUGUUCCUGCAGCUGGGGCUGCUGGUGGCGGCGUCGCUGCCGCCGGUGUCGAAGCAGAUGGAGGUGUCGCUGAAGAAGUGGCUGGCCGACAACCAGCUGCUCUACACCACCCCGGACGCGGAGGACACGGCGAUGGACGCCGGCGUCGUCGCCGCCAGCAAGGCCCAGGUCCACGUGGGCGUCGACCCCGCCGGCAGCGGCAGCGGCGGAGGCAAGCGCCGCACCAUCGCCGCCGCGCUCGCCGGCGUCCCAGACAGCGGCGGCGGCGAGCCCAAGAGCUACGAGCUGAGCCUGAAGCCGGGGCAGGUGUUCCGCGAGAAGGUGGUGGUCGGCAAGGGCAAGGCGUACGUCACCCUCAAGUCCGACCCGGCCAACCCCGCCGUCAUCGUGUGGAACGACACCGCCGCCACCCUCGGCAAGGACGGCGAGCCCCUCGGCCACGAACAAAAGCAUCCUUCUUCAAAUGCACGAUCGAGGCCGGCGGGCAAGGCGCGGUAUACGUACGACGACGACGGGCAGCACUACUUCAAGGAGUGCACCAUCAACGGCGGCGCCGACGUCAUCUUCGGUUUCGGGAGGUCUUUCUACGAAGAUUGCCGCAUCAUCUCCAAGAAAGACCCUGCCACCGUCGUGUACUCCACGACGCAGGCGCAGGCGCAGAGGGCGCCCAAGUAUGUCGGGCUCGACGGGACCACCAACCCCGCUUUCCUCGGCUUCUCGUUCCACAACUGCACCAUCGAGGCCGGCGCCGGCGACUCGGGCGGCGCCGACGACAAGGUCUACCUCGGCAGGGCAUGGGAGGACUCGUCGUUCGUCGCCUACACCUAUAGCAAGAUCGCCAAUGAGAUCGUGCCUAUUGGCUACGACGACCACGGGAACAUCCAAAAGCCACCGCAAGGGUAUGUGCUAAUUUACAAUUCUAGAAUUCUUAUUACUCCCUUUGUUUUAGAUUAUCAACUUAAGACAAAUAUAUUAUGCAAAUAUACUCAAUUAUUUAUUUAAUGAAACUAAU